rnacentral:lncRNA from 1 species
CGACUUAGCUCAUGAUUUCUAUGAUUUCUGCAAUUAAUUUUAUAAUUAACUCAUGUUUAAUUAGUAUCCGAAUGUGAUAAGGGAAGGACCCAAACACGCCCCUGACCUAGAAUGAAAUUGAAACGACGAACGUGGUUCUUCUCUGUUCAGGUAAACAGUCGAUAGCAAGGACCAUUGAAAACAGGCGAAGCAUGUAUUCGCACGCAAAUCGCGAGGCUGAAUUCCACUGAUCGUCCUGUGGAGUCUGCAAGGUCGCGUACUCGCGUGCACCAUUAGUGCGUUGUUCCACGAAUGACCGGAGAGAAAGAAGUCUAGAACCAGCCAACCUUUAUCCAGCCAGUGCAAGAUUAAAUUACGAAGAGAAACAUGUAAUGAUACUUUCAUCUGACAUGUUUUUACUCUUUACAUAUAAUAUAUCAGGACAUGUUAAAUUAGGAAUAUGUAACAGUUUAUAUAUGCGAUUGUUCAAAUGAUUGACUUAUGAUUAUGUUUUGUUUAAAAUUGACAUUGAAUUGAAAAUAACAUGAUCAGUGCACCCAAGUUCACCAAUUCAAUUAAAUUUAACAAACUCAAUAUUGUCCUCAUGAUUUGCAAUUUAUGUUAUGUUUAUACAAAAUCUACAUAUUUAAACUACAAAACAAUUAUCCUUAUAUGGUUUCUCUAGAGACUAGAAAUAUUUGUUGAAUCCUAAUGCAAUGAAACCAAAGAAAAUGUAGAAUGUUUAAGACAACCAGGCCAUUUUGUAAAACUAGUAUAGAAUUUGCGAACUAGGUUCUUUGUUUUUUUUUGAAAAACAUUACCAUUUGGAUCUUUGAGCCACGAACUACGCACAGGUACUCCCAUUUCCUGACAAUUUUGUUCACUCGCUUUGACAGAGAGGUUCAUUUGAUUAGUUUAUGAGUAUGAUGAUUUAUCAUUAUUAUAAAAAUAAAAAAAAGUUCUAUUUUCAUCCUUAAACUAUCACAAAAGUCUAAUUUCCAACCUGCAACUACAAUACCGAACAACUAGGGCCAUUUAGCUAUCAAAACGGGGCAAAUUUGGCCUCUUGGAUGGUUUAGAUGGUGUUUUUGCAUUUUGUAGAAAUUUUAAAAUUUUUUGAUUUAAUCAAAAAAUUCAUAACUAAUUCAUUUCAAAUCCAAAAACUAUAAAUUUGUUAUUAAAAGUUUUCUAAAAAUGUAGGGCAGGUUGAUGAGCAUGAGCCUUGGCAUUUUGGAGAGGAUGUGCUCUUAGAUCUUUCUCUUUGUGUACAGUAUGGAAAUUUGGCGGAAGGGC